ensembl:lncRNA
UUUUUUUUUUUUUUUCACUGAAUCUUUAUUAAUUUACAGGUAGCUGACAGUCACAUAUAGAGAAGUUUCAGUUAUAAGCUGAAUCACUGAAUCCUACCUGUUUUACAAUUGCAGACUGGUUACAAAGCUGUUAGAAGACUGUUUAUAAAAUUGUUUCUAAAUUGGAACUUUUAAAGUAUGUUUUGCCCAGAGAGGGAAAUUUUUGGAUUGCAUGUGUGAGCUGCAUACAGUAAAUCUUAAAAGCACCUGACUUUCAUCCUUCCUGGUUGCUUUUUCUGAUAUGCUACUUACCUGUCUUCUGUUUAGUAUUAGACUUUUUAUUAGUGAAUGAGGCCUUAUAUGUUAAUUAAUCUACCAGUUACCUUCUUUUGUGUAUAUUUUUCCAUUGUAGUAUACUUUUCAAAGACUUAGCAAUUUUGCAUAUCAAUGCUCCUCCUUGCAGAGCCCUGAGGAAUUCAUUUCUCAAAAGUAACACCAGACCCUAGAGUAUAACAUUGGACUUGUUUUUCUAUCAGUUGUUGUUCUUUACCUGCAUAACCUUUUCUAUCUGUUGCUGUCUAUAGGGAACGGCAUUGACCUUGCCUGCUCAAUGUGCAGGGACUCAUGCCUGCAUGAACUGAGGAUUUAUAAGACUUUCUCUUGCACCUUUAUUUGUCAUAUCAGCAGUUUAAUCAUCUGCAGAAAUACAUUCUGACUGAGUAAGCCUGAGGUAGACAAUGCUUACUUCCCCAUUACAAAAUCUUCCAGGAAUAAAAGAGAGAUUCAGCUGCAGGGCAUCCAUCCUCUCAGUGCCCUAUUAUCCUAACAUAUCAUUUACUCUGUUACUGACUUUUAGUUUGCCUUAUUUGGUCUGAUUAUUGUGUUAGAGCCUUCCCCUGUAUCAUUGUAUAUCGGUUCACAACACAUUUUUAUUCAGCUGCUACCUGAUUAUUGUCUACCUAUGACCAAACACAUUUCCGAAGACUUCCAGUACUCAAAACAGGGGUUGAUUGUAUGCUGAGAAGGAAAAUAACUUGAAAGGAAAGAAAUCAAAGAAGAAAAAUCUGUUGAUAAAAAAGACAAAAAUACAUAGUUUCUGUUUUAGUUUUUCAUAACAAACAGAAUAUAUUCAUUGUUUGCAUUGAUAUUUAGUACUGUCAUAUAUAAUAGGUAUCUGUGCAUUCGAUCAAAAAGAUUGCACAUAAUUUGCUGUUUUCCUUGACAUAUUUUUUUGUACCCCAAGGCUUCCAGCACCUUAUAGUGAACUUAGCACAUCAAAUAAAAACAUCAUAGGCCACAGCAUCAACAUGCAGCACAAAGAAAGGAGGGCUUUAACAACCACUAAUUAACUAAAUAUAUUGCCAAUUUUAUAAAAUUAAUUUGAAGGUUUUUAAAUAGAGUAUGCCAGAGAAAACUAUUUUUUUCAAAACUCUGUCACUAUUCUGACUGCAUCCAGCUGAAGCUGAGAGAAAUAACAAGGUUUUGGAAAGCACUUCUGGGUUUUCAAAAGAACAAAAUACAUCAAAUAGAAACUCAAUAAAAGUUCACAACUUAAGUAUGCUCAGAAAGUUUCAGAUUUCAGUUUCUAAGAAAGUUGUUAGUGUUCCAUAGCUUCCGUAUCUUCUGUACCGAAGUGUUCAAUUUAAUUCUUCUUGAAUUCAUAGAAAUUAUACAGCUGUUUCAUUAAGCUGGUAUAAUUUAUUAUCUCUACUUCAAAAUAAAAUAAAAUAAAAUAAAAUAAAAUAAAAUAAAAUAAAAUAAAAUAAAAGUAUUCUAAUACUGUAAUAAAUAAAUUAUUUUCAAAUCACAUUUCCUUUUAAAAUUAUAGAUUAUUAAAUAGUAUCUUUGUCGUAUAACAGUAUGAAAGGAAAAAGACUUGAGACAAUAAACUGAAUGUAAUUCUGAAAACUGUUAUUAACUAGUUACUGGAGAUAAACCAUUCACCAGAUAAAGUUAUUCAGAUCUGGUUUCUUGCUUCCUCAAUGUUACAAAAGAAAAUAGAAAGAAUAGUAUAAAAUUUUGAAGUGUCCUUUUAAUUUAUCAUGUGGCUAGCACCACUUUAACUACUUAGAAAAAUAUUGGUACAAAGCUGUUUUCCAGGCUGUGGUCCAAAAACAUGCGUUAAUGACCUCACAUGUUAAUGGCUAUAUCUCACAGGGCUGAUCAUGUCAGGAGCAAUUCUAACAGCAUUACAAUAUAGAAAAUUAAGUUCUGAUGUCUAGGAAUCUUCCUAGUACUAUCUAAUUUCUGUAAUAUGCAUAUUUUCACCAUCUUCACUGUCCUUUGCUCCAUUUAGAAGUUUAACUUUAUGGAUGUUUCUCCUCAUUAAUUUUUAUAUUUGAUUUUACUUAUUUCAUUUCCUAAAAUUAUAUGUCUUUCUUUUUUUUUCUUCUUUUUUUUUUCUGAGAGAUUCACUUCUCAGAACCCAAAUCAGAAAAAAUCAAAUUAGCUUCUGAUUCCAUCUUUUCUUCAUUGAAACAUUCUCCAAAAAUAAACAUUCAUUUUAGUGACUACUACCAGAGAUAUUCAUAUGAGUCAGUUAUGCACACAUACAUUGAAAAGAAAUCCUUUUUAAAAUUAAAUUCCUAUCCUUCUAGUUGUUACUGACACUGCUUCAACAUUACUUCUUAUCUGCUGAAGAGAGCCACAUAUCUUUAGUAGCAUUAAAAGGAUGACACAGAGAAUUAGGAAGAGAUUGGGAAGGUGCUUUAAAAUAAUGAUCUUUAGAAAGCCUUCAGCUGAAUCAUAGUACCUUUACUCAAAUACAUAUAUGUCUGUAUGUUUCAAAGUUGUUGCAUCGAUCCAAUGUUCAGACAAUAAGCUGUUCUGCUGAUGGUGGUGGGCUGUUGUUUUUCUAUUUUAUUCAUAUUUUAAAACUUGACAAGAACCUAGUCUUUCACAAAAUCACCAGAGUAUUAACUCAACCUCCCCCAAGUCACAGAAUCAUAGAAUCACAGAUGUUGGAAGGGACCUCUGGAGACCAUCUAGACCAGCCUCUCUCCUAAAACAGGUCCCCUAGAGUAGGUUACAAAGGAAAGCAUUCAGGUGGGUUUUGAAUAUCUGUUGAGAAGGAGAUCCCACAAAUCCUCUGUGUAGCUUGUUCCAGUACUCUAUAAUCCUCUAAGACAUUUUUGUCAUGUUUUUAUAGACCUUCCUAUCUUCUAAUUUGCUCCCAUUGCCCUUUUUCCUGUCACUGUGCAUAACUGAAAAGAGCCUGGCCCUGUCUUCUUGACUCCUUCUGAUAUUAGGUAUUUAUAAGCACUGAUAAGAUUCUCCCUCAUCCUUCUCCAUGCUUAACAGUCCUGUGUCUCUCAGCUUUUCUGCAUAAGGGAGAUGCUCCAGGCUCUUACUCAUCUUUCUGGUCCUCUGUCAGACUCUCUCCACAUUUUCCUGUCUUUCUUGAACAGGGAAGUACUCAAAGAUAGGGCCUUAUCAGGAAAGACAGCAGGUGGAUAACUUCCUUUGACUUGCUGGCCACACACUUUUUAAUGCACUGCAAAAUCUGACUAACUAGAUUUCUCCUCAAGUAAAAAACUCCAUUUUAUUAACUCCUUUAUUAACUCAUAUUUUUUCCUAUAAGGUGUGGCACAUCUUAGAUGAAGGAAUUUCAUCCUUGCUUUUGAAGAUAGUCUCCUGUGCAGGCAGGGAAGUAAAUGAUAAUGUUAAACUGAGAUCAAGUAAAAGGAAGCUCACAUGAUCACUCACAUACAACAUAAGGCUCAAGAAGCUUUUUGACUAUUAAUUGCCACUAACUCAGAAAUUAUACCAUUGAAACAAUUAUCCUAUACUUUUACUGUUUUCCAUAUUUUUCCCACAACAGCAGAUCCUACCACUGCCAGAGAAUGAAAACUGGAUUUAUCUGUGGGACUCAAUGGACAGUUUUCUGUAAUAAUAAAUUUUGAGCCAUCUGUGUGUGAGCAGGGAGAUUUGUGGUUCCUACCAUUAUUCCCUAGGUAUCUUCUGUUUGUACACAAUGGUAGUCUGACUGUAAAAUGUGUAUCAUUUCUCAAGACUAAAGUGGUUCUAAUGGAUCACCUGGAGACCCCUGUAUUUUAAAACAUUUACUAUUGAUUCCAAAUGCCUUCUGGAAUUUGUUAGAGAUUCAGAAGAGAGAGAACGAAUCUACAGAUUAAACCAUUGUGCUUUUCUAAUUACAGUUUUAUCUAAAGUUUGAAUUUGGUUAUCCAUGAGCACAUUUUAACACAAAGCUUUACACAAGUCUGCACUAACUUUCACUUACC